AUGGACUAGAUUUGCACAGGUUUAGGGACCCUUAACAAUGGUUGCAUUGUUAAUUCUCACAGGGCUUGUUUGCAUCUAAAACUUUAGUGUCUGGCUUGCAUUGUACAGUGCUUUCAGUAAAGCAUAAGUACAAUGUGUUUGGCACUAAAGUGUAAUGCACCCAUUCCGGGAACAAGCUCUGCACUAAAAUCAGAGGAAGGGAUAGGCCUUGUUGAGCCUGUUAAAAGAUAGGCUGUUAGGAUUUUUUGGCCUUAUUAUUAGGCAUUGGUGAUAAUAAAAUUAGUGUCCCUGUUUAAUGUUUAUUUUUCUUUUACAGGUGAUUGUCUCUGGAGUUGUCUUGGCCUUUUGGAUCUUCUGUUCAUCUAGGAGCAUCUGUCCCACAACCUGAAACAGUUCAUAUAAAUACUAUAGAUUAGGAAGUCCAGAACAACAUCCUAGAGUUUGAAGGUGGUGUUUGCUCGACAUUCAGAAUCGGGUACUUUGCUAGAUUACAAUGGUAUCAAAGCAGCGAGUGGCUGUUGUACUCUGCACAUCUAUGAAGCUGGUUGUGGAGGGUGCUUCCAACAUAACUUCAGGAACAGUGUACAGAACAAUUGGUGGAACUUGUAUGCUACAGAAAGUAGCACAGGGGCUGGCCAGCUGAGCAGACAGCACACUGGAGAUGUGAUCCUGUGGUCCCAGGUUGAAUCCUGGCAAGAAAUGGUGGGCCGAGUUUUUCACCCUAUGCCCCUAAUAAGAAUUGGGAAGUCCAGCUGUUCAUCCUAGAGUUUGAAGGUGUUGAUUGCUUGACAUUCAGAAUGGGGUGGUAAUGGAGAUUAUGAUGGUAUCAAGGAAUUGACUGGCUUAAGAAGUGUGGCUGUUCUACUCUGCACAUCCAAUAAACUGGUGGUUGUUGUCCUUGGUACUCUGGAUGUUUUCCUGGCCUUUGAAGUUGUUUGGAGUCUUCAGUUGAAACCUCAACCUGAAACAAAAUUGUCAACAUUAGUUAUAUUGUAUACUAUUUAAUAAAUCUUUUAAUGAAAA